rnacentral:lncRNA from 1 species
UAAAAUGUGUGGCCAUUGUUCGCAUGAUGGAAUCCAAGCAUAAGAGGAGGAAGAAGGCCUGUUGCCCAAAAAUUGGCAGUAGCCACACAGACAUGAGAGUGUUGGAUCUCAUUCUGGAUGAAGCCCUGAGAAAGGCAAUCAAGGGCCACAAGAAGAAGAAAAAUUGCCACUCCAAGUAGGAGCAAGCCACCUGCCACAGGGAUGUCAGCAGCCUACCUCCCCGCCAGCCACCAGAGGGUGAAGGUAGACAACAGUAGGCCUGGCCAAGCAGUGUUCUGUGGUGACCCUUGAAGGCUAAUUGUAAUUGAAAGCAUUCUUUAAGUUACACAAUAAAAACACAAGUACAUUAUAUUCUUUCAAGUGCUCCGAAAUUUUAAAUAAAACUUUGAUAGUCCUCAAA